UAAAGGUAAUUGCUUUGAAGACAUGAAAUUGCAACGAUACAGGGAAGAUUAGCAUAGUCCCUGCAAAAUGACGCGACACUCGCAAAAGAAAUGGUCAGGGCUGACCCUUUU
rnacentral:snRNA from 1 species